rnacentral:rRNA from 1 species
GACGAACGCUGGCGGCGUGCCUAACACAUGCAAGUCGAGCGAGGGACUUCGGUCCCUAGCGGCGGACGGGUGAGUAACACGUGGGUAACCUGCCUCAUAGUGGGGGAUAGCCUUCCGCAAGGAAGAUUAAUACCGCAUAUACUCUCGAUACCGCAUGGUAUUUAGAGGAAAGGAGCAAUCCGCUAUGAGAUGGACCCGCGGCGCAUUAGCUAGUUGGUGAGGUAAUGGCUCACCAAGGCGACGAUGCGUAGCCGACCUGAGAGGGUGAUCGGCCACAUUGGAACUGAGACACGGUCCAGACUCCUACGGGAGGCAGCAGUGGGGAAUAUUGCACAAUGGGAGAAAGCCUGAUGCAGCAACGCCGCGUGAGUGAUGAAGGCCUUCGGGUUGUAAAGCUCUGUCUUUUGGGACGAUAAUGACGGUACCAAAGGAGGAAGCCACGGCUAACUACGUGCCAGCCGCCGCUGUAAGAC